rnacentral:rRNA from 1 species
GGGGGGCAACUCCCUGAGUCGAGCGGCGGACGGGUGAGUAACACGUGGGUAACCUACCCGGAAGUGGGGAAUACCUCGGGGAAACUCGAGCUAAUACCGCAUAACAUCUUUGGAACGAAAGUUCUGACGAUCAAAGCGGGGUCGUAAGAUCUCGCGCUACCGGAUGGGCCCGCGCCCGAUUAGCUAGUUGGUGAGGUAACGGCUCACCAAGGCGACGAUCGGUAACCGGCCUGAGAGGGCGAUCGGUCACACCGGAACUGAGACACGGUCCGGACUCCUACGGGAGGCAGCAGUGGGGAAUCUUGCGCAAUGGGCGAAAGCCUGACGCAGCAACGCCGCGUGGAGGAUGAAGGCCCUUGGGUUGUAAACUCCUGUCGGCUGGGAAGAAGUUGUUCGCGACUAAUACUCGCGGACAUUGACUGUACCAGCAAAGGAAGCCCCGGCUAACUCUGUGCCAGCAGCCGCGGUAAUACAGAGGGGGCCAGCGUUAUUCGGAAUUAUUGGGCGUAAAGGGCGCGUAGGCGGCCAUGCGUGUCUUCCGUGAAAUCCCUCGGCUCAACCGAGGACGUGCGGAAGAAACUGCAAGGCUCGAGUCCGGAAGAGGGGGGCGGAAUUCCCAGUGUAGCGGUGAAAUGCGUAGAUAUUGGGAGGAACACCAGUGGCGAAGGCGGUCCCCUGGGCCGGAACUGA